UACGUAGGGGGCGAGCGUUGUCCGGAUUUACUGGGCGUAAAGGGUGAGUAGGCGGUUGUAUGUGUCAGAUGUAAAAGGCUAAGGCUUAACCAUAGUUAGCAUUUGAAACUGUACAACUUGAGUGCAGGAGAGGUAAGUGGAAUUCCUAGUGUAGCGGUGAAAUGCGUAGAUAUUAGGAGGAACACCAGUGGCGAAGGCGACUUACUGGACUGUAACUGACGCUGAGUCACGAAAGCGUGGGUAGCAAACAGGAUUAGAUACCCUGGUAGUCCACGCUGUAAACGAUGAGUGCUAGGUGUUGGCCAGCGAUGGUCAGUGCCGAAGUAAACACAAUAAGCACUCCGCCUGGGGAGUACGGUCGCAAGACUGAA
rnacentral:rRNA from 1 species